AAGUCGUAACAAGGUUUCCGUAGGUGAACCUGCGGAAGGAUCAUUAACACGAAUACCCCUUUCUAUAAACCCCUCUUACUCGCUCGGAGCCCGUAAAACCGGCUUCGAGUGGUGAACUUGAAGGCUUUCUUUCGGUUGGCGGGUUCGCAAGAGCUCGCUUUCCGACCCUGGCUAAGAUAGAUAGAUGCUAUCAGGGAGCGGGAGGCCGGUCGGCAGUGCUGUUUCAGGUGCGCUGUUGGCUAAAUUAGCAUUUGUCUACAAACUCAAUUAACCCCAAUCAAUACCCGUUGACAGAAACAUUACAUUUCUUUCGUCCUCGCGGGCGGCUGAAAUACAAUACAAAAAACCCUAAACAACUUUUAGCAAUGGAUGUCUAGGUUCUC
rnacentral:misc_RNA from 1 species